UGAAACACGUGGAAUUGUUUUUAACUUUCCUAUUUUUCUAACUAAAUUUUAAUUAUUAAAUAAGUAGUGCUUAGUGGGUUAAGUAUAGUAGUUAGUGGGUUAAGUAGUGCUUAAGUGGGUUUAAUUGUGAAUAUUAUUCUAACUCCUUAAACUAACCCACUAACCCAUUUUCUUGAGUGCUCUUGUGGUUGGUUUUCUUGCAGAUCAUGGGCUGAGUAGUGGAAGCUUGGAAUGUCUAUAAAUACCGACUUCAAGACUCAAGGAAAUUAAUCGAUUCUACGAAAUAAAAACCGAGGGCUGAAGAAUAUUC
rnacentral:lncRNA from 1 species